CUCACAUCAGCAACUCUGGGAUUUCUCUCCGGACUCAUCCUUUCACCUCAAUCACAUGCUGUCCUGGUGCCUCUGAGUCUGUCAGAAUUUACCCCUGUGGUGAUUCACCUCAGCACCGCCGAUUCACCCGAAGUUUCCAGGGUAGCUUUGGUUCCUCUGACUUCCCCUUUCUUCACUAUGGGAGUCUAGAAUCUCCGUAUUUCUUGGCUAACAACUGGAAUGGAAGCGUUCAUUGUAAAUGCAGGAGAUUCACAUUAAAUUAUGGAAUCUGGAUUGGGCUGUAGAGACCUAUUGCGGCAAUGCUGGGUCCUUCUGCCUACUGUACCCUGUGAUCAGAAUGCCAGAGCUCCAGCUGUCCUUACCGGAGGCCAGUUCGGAAGGGCGGCACUGUCCCGUGGCACCAAGGGCAAGUCAGGCCAUCUGAAGGACUGAGUCCCCUUCUCUGCUUCGCCACCCUACUCCAGUCAGGAAACCAGAAUUCCUUCCUUCCUUCAUUCAUUCAUAUUUAUUAAGCACUUACUGAUGAUGAUGGUAUUUGUUAAGCGCUUACUAUGUGCCAAGUGCUGGGGUAGAUACAAGGUAAUCAGUUUGUCCCGCCUGGGGCUCACAGCCUUACUCUCCAUUUUACAGAUGAGGUAACUGAGGCCCAGAGAUGUGAAGUGGCUUGCCCAAAGUCACACAGCUGACAAGUGGCAGAGCCGAGAUUAGAACCCACUACCUCUGACUCCUAAGCCCUUGCUCUUACCAAUAAGCCAUGCUGAUGCUCUGUGUGCAGAGCCUGUACUAAAUGCUUGGGAAAGUACAAUACAGCAAUAAACAGUGACAUUUCCUGUCUACCACGAGCUCACAGUUUGGAGGGGGACAGACAUCAAUACAAAAUUACAGAUAUAUAUAUAAAUAUAUGUACACAGAUAUAUAUAUAGUGGGGAGAGGACAGAGGGGGGAGAGCAAAGGGAGUAAGUCAGGGUGACACAGAGGGAGUGGGAGAUGAGGAAUAGUGGGGCUUAAUCUGGGAGGAGAUAUGCCUUCAAUAAGGCUUUGAAGCAGGGGCAAGUAAUUGCCUGUCUGAUUUGAGAAGGGAGGU
rnacentral:lncRNA from 1 species